AAAAACAAGCACCAUCUUCAUACCUGCUGAAACCUAAUUCUCAUCCAGAGGGAUGUGAGGAAUAAAGGGGGCAGUGAUACCAACAGCGGGCGUAGGCAGCCCAUCCAUCCCACGCAGGUCAUGAAGCUGAUGCUUAGAGAGGUUCAGUAAUCCACCCAUGUCUCUCUGACCCAGGUCUGAUCACCAUACUAUUGCCUGCAGAUGAAGAGGAGCAACAUAUUGUAUCCUGUGUUGCUCAAGAGAGCAGAAUUAGGACUUAGAAUAGCCUUCUAAGAAUUGCUCUGUGCCACCAAAUGGGUGGCAGACUUCUAGACAAGUUUUCUAAACUUGUCAGCCUCAACUACAAGUCAGCUGGUGAGAGAAAACAAACAUUGCUAUCCAGGGGCUUUUGCUUGUCAGCCUCAACUACAAGUGAGCUGGUGAGAGAAAACAAACAUCACUAUCCAGGGGCUUUUGCUGGACUUACUGAAUGUAACAGAGAUCGGAUUGGAUUGUCUCUAAUGUCUGUUUCACGAAUAGAGUUCUGUAAAUAGUC
rnacentral:antisense_RNA from 1 species